GAUGGGUUUGGUCAUGGAAAAAAUGCGGAAGAUGGUGUCUGGCGCAACGGGGCGCCGCUGCGCCAGGUCCGCAAAGCCGCGCUGCAGCCGCAACGGCUCCUCCCUUGAGCCAACCCUGCCGGCAAUCAGCGCAACGCCCGGGCACUCCA
rnacentral:SRP_RNA from 15 species